rnacentral:tRNA from 1 species
GUGGGUAUAGCUCAGUUGGUUAGAGCGCCAGAUUGUGGCUCUGGAGGUCGUGAGUUCGACUCUCGUUAUCCACCCCA